GAUGAACGCUGGCGGCGUGCCUAAUACAUGCAAGUCGAGCGAACGGACGAGAAGCUUGCUUCUCUGAUGUUAGCGGCGGACGGGUGAGUAACACGUGGAUAACCUACCUAUAAGACUGGGAUAACUUCGGGAAACCGGAGCUAAUACCGGAUAAUAUUUUGAACCGCAUGGUUCAAAAGUGAAAGACGGUCUUGCUGUCACUUAUAGAUGGAUCCGCGCUGCAUUAGCUAGUUGGUAAGGUAACGGCUUACCAAGGCAACGAUGCAUAGCCGACCUGGGAGGGUGAUAGGCCACACUGGAACUUGGCCACGGUCCAGGCUCCUACGGGAGGCAGCAGUAGGGAAUCUUCCGCAAUGGGCGAAAGCCUGACGGAGCAACGCCGCGUGAGUGAUGAAGGUCUUCGGAUCGUAAAACUCUGUUAUUAGGGAAGAACAUAUGUGUAAGUAACUGUGCACAUCUUGACGGUACCUAAUCAGAAAGCCACGGCUAACUACGUG
rnacentral:rRNA from 1 species